CGUCGUAGUCAGUCUAGAACUAGCGCAGGAUGGAUGAAUUACCAUUCAGUCCUUAGGAAUCAGGUCUGUCGGGGAGUAUGGUCGCCAGACCUGGAACCUAAGAAAUGACGAGGCACCCCACCCAGGAGUGGACCUGCGCUAAUUUGACUCCAACCCGGGAACUAGCCAGGGUCCCAGACAUAGUACGAUGACCAGACUGAUAGCUCUUUCUGAAUACUAAUGGAGGUGGUGGUGCAUGGCCCGAACUAGUUGGUGGAGGUGAUUGUCUGGUGUUGCCGUUUCGUUCGUGACCUCACUGCUAAUUAGUCAUCUCAUUUAUGGGGCACGACUUCUUAGAGGGACUAUGCACAUCAAGUGCAUGGAAGUAUGAGGCAAUAACAGGUCUGUGAUGCCCUUAUAUGUCCUGGACUGCACGCGUGCUACACUGAUGCAUACAACAAGUGCCUAGCUAGACAUAGUAUGGCAAUCUGGAAUAUGCAUCGUGAUGGGGAUAGAUCUUUGCAAUUAUAGAUCUUGAACGAGGAAUUCCUAGUAAGUGCAAGUCAUCAUCUUGCAUUGAUUAUGUCCCUGCCCUUUGUACACACCGCCCGUCGCUCCUACCGAUACCGGGUGGAUCCGGAUGAACCUGUUGGACCCUUUGGGAAAAAUAAGUAAAUCAUAUCACCUAGAGGAAGGAGAAGUCGUAACAAGGUUCCUACUGAACCUGCAGAAGGAUCAUAACCAGGAUCCCGGCCCUCUGCU
rnacentral:rRNA from 1 species